rnacentral:rRNA from 1 species
CAGUCUUACCUGCGGACAAUCAGCUUUUUGAGUGUGAUUAUGUGGAUUGUGAGGAGUUUAAUCACCCUCAUGUUUUGCAUAUUCGUGCUCUUGGGUGUACUUGCCUGUGUGGUUAGUUAACAUCAAUUUUGGUAUCAUAAAUGGUUGGAGGAAUGUAGCUUCGAUCUCGUAUUGAAGUGUUAUAGUCCCUUCGGCAGAU